GAUGAACGCUGGCGGCGUGCUUAACACAUGCAAGUCGAGCGAUGAAGUUUCCUUCGGGAAAUGGAUUAGCGGCGGACGGGUGAGUAACACGUGGGUAACCUGCCUCAUAGAGUGGAAUAGCCUUCCGAAAGGAAGAUUAAUACCGCAUAAGCUUGUAGUAUCGCAUGGUACAGCAAGAAAAGGAGUAAUCCGCUAAUAGAUGGGCUUGCGGCUGAUUAGCUAGUUGGUAAGGUAAUGGCUUACCAAGGCAACGAUCAGUAGCCGGGCUGAGAGGCUCUGCGGCCACAUUGGGACUGAGAUACGGCCCAG
rnacentral:rRNA from 1 species